AAUUCUCCACGCUGCAAAAGAGCAGACGAACUUGGAAAAAAGACAUAUCGCGUGGUGAUCGCAUUUAGUGGUGAAUAACGCCGAUGUUGGGAAUUCCUGUUGGCGAGUUUGUGUGAAUGUCUUGAAAAACAAACAAAAAAGGAAAAAUAUCAGUCAUGGAGCCAAUAACAGCUGAAGGCGACGAGGAAUCUUUAUAAAACAGUAAUGCGGGUAGUUCUGGUGCCUUCCAGGUUGGAAGAAUACACAUGCACUGGAAGGGCAUACACAAGUUGGAGGAGACGGGGGGAGAAAGUGUUAAUAAUGUUACAUCUAUCAAGUAUUACCUCGUAAAAACUGUUGAAAGAGAUGAAAACUUCAAAGACAUCACUUACUACACUUGUGUUCCAACAACCUGGGUUUCGGAAUGCAUGCAAUUCAUGGUAUACCCACCAGUUGGGACACAAGCAUUAGUUAACUGUUUAAGCCUUUAAUUUGUUUUGUCGUUGGUAUACUAAGAAGAUUCCAAUGUUAGGUUUUUACAUUGUGACAAUUUUUAUUUAACAUUUCAUUGUUAUUAGACCUUCUGGACUGCAUCAGUCAAUCAAUUACUUGUUUUGUGCCCUAAUGUCAUGCUUUUUCAUUCAGCAGUACAAUAGAAAUAAAA
rnacentral:lncRNA from 1 species